rnacentral:rRNA from 1 species
GACGAACGCUGGCGGCGCGCCUAACACAUGCUAGUCGAGCGAUGAAAUUUUAACCGAUCUCUUCGGAGAGAAGAUAAAAUGGAUUAGCGGCGGACGGGUGAGUAACACGUGAGAAACCUGCCUUUCACAAGGGGAUAGCCUCGGGAAACCGGGAUUAAUACCCUAUGACACAUUUCCUUCGCAUGGAAGAAAUGUUAAAACUCCGGUGGUGAAAGAUGGUCUCGCGCCUGAUUAGCUAGUUGGUGGGGUAACGGCCCACCAAGGCCAUGAUCAGUAGCCGGCCUGAGAGGGUGAACGGUCACAUUGGAACUGAGACACGGUCCAAACCCCUACGGGAGGCAGCAGUGGGGAAUAUUGCACAAUGGAGGAAACUCUGAUGCAGCGACGCCGCGUGAGCGAUGAAGGCUUUCGAGUCGUAAAGCUCUGUCCUAUGGGAAGAUAAUGACGGUACCAUAGGAGGAAGCCCCGGCUAACUACGUG